GCUCACUCUGUUGUACAGGCUGGAGUGCAAUGGCAUGAUCACAACUCACUGCAGCCUUGGCCUCCUGGACUCAAGGGAUCCUCCCUCCUCAACCUCCCGAGUAGCUAGGACUAACGGCAUGUGCCACUGGGCUGGGCUUAUUUUUUUUUAUUUUUUGUAGAGAUGGGGUCUCCCUAUGUGGCCCAGGCUGGUUUUGAACUCCUGGGCUCAAGGGAUCUUCCUACUUCAACCUCCCUAAGUGCUGGGAUUAUAGGCGUGAGCCACCACACCUGGCCAAUGACACUUCUUAAAAUUACUUUUUUUUUUUUUUUUAGUAUGUAUAGAGAGGAUGUGACAACUGUUAGAUGUUGUAAUUUUAUUCAUUCAUUCAUCCAACAGACAUUCUGGUGUGGAGCCACUUUAUGCCAGGCACCGGGCCAGGUGCUGAGAGUACAUCAAUAAAUCAAGACAUCAUAACACACAGUCUUGACGGCUAAACAGAUGAAGAAGUAAAAAAUAUGUAAAUCAAGACAUCAGAACGCAUAGUCUCGGUGGCUAAACAGAUGAAGAAGCAAAAAAUGUGUAAUCUGGUUUGAAAAGUGGUGUGUGCUGCAGGUAGUGACAGCUCUUUAAAGGGGUGCAUGUUAAUUGGAUCUGCGAAAUGGAGGCCACAGAGUUGAGCUUGCCCUGCGGCUGUGAGCUCCGAUCAGUCUUCCUAAGAAGGGAGGGCCCUCCAGCUCCUCCCAUCACAUGGGAAACACGAUGAGCUGCUCCCAAAAGAAAUCAGAGAGGCAGACAAACUCACAGGGGACUAACUACAGAUGGGGUGGCUUCAACAGACGAUUAUCCUCACACAUUCUGGAAGCUGAAGUCCGAGAUCAUGGCGUGGAAAGGUUGGUUUCUCUCUCCCUGGAUGGCCGACUUUUCCUUGUGUCCUCACAUGACUGUCCCUCUGUGCAUGUCUGUGUCCUAAUCUCCUCUUCUGAUAAGGACACCAGUCAUAUGGGAUAUGGGAUUAGGACCCACCCUAACAGGCUCAUUUGAAUUUAAUCACCUCUGUAAAGACCCCAUUUCUAAAUACAGUUGAUUUCCGGGGUACUGGGGGUUAGAACGUCAACAUCGGAAUUGGAGAAAGUGGGGGCACAGUUCAGGCCGUAACAGCCCACCUCGACGGCGUCCUUGGCCAUCUCUGGUGAGACUCAUGGGACUCCUCCCCCACCUUCAGCAUCAGCGCCUGGAUACCACAUUUCCAUUUUCCAGGCGAGACAGCUGACAAGGGUAAAGCAGAACCGCCAGGGAUGAGACUCAAAGAUCCCAGAAUACAUUUUACCCUAUCGAGACCCUCAUUUUAAAAAUGAAACUGAGCCACUGCGCCCGGCUGGAGUUGUAGGUUGUUAGCCACAGUUUGCUUUCACAUGUAGCGGGUAUCGGGUUCUUGAUCCUGGCUGUUGUCUUUCCACGGCCUUGUGUUCACACUGUGUUCGGAAAGGAAGCUGUGGUCUUACAGGUCUUCACACAUCAGUGCUUUAUGUGCGCCUUACAGAUCUUCACGGAUCUGUGCUUUAUGUUGCAGGAGGUCAGUAGGUUUAGGUUGGUUGGGUCUCUUCAAAUGUGAAAAGUCCCCACAUAUCAGCCAGGCACAGGGGCUCACACCUGUAAUUCCAGCAUUUUGGGAGGCUGAGGCAGGCAGAUCACCUGAGGUGAAGAGUUUGAGAUCAGCCUGGCUAAUAUGGUGAAACUCCAUCUCUACUAAAAAUACAAAAAUUAGCUGGGCUUGCUGGCGGGCACCUGUAAUCCCACCUACUCGGGAGGCUGAGGUUGGGGAAUCGCUUGAACGCCGGAGGCAGAGAUUGCAGUGAGCGGAGAUUGUGCCAUUGUACUCCAGCCUGGGCGACACAGUGAAACUAUGUCUCAAAAAAAAAAAAAAAAACAGAAAAAGUCACCACAUAUCAAGGAAACGUGUCCCAUGAAUGGGGCCUUAAGAGCCUGCUCUUUCAUGCUGCAUGAGUCCCCUGGCCCCCAGCCCGCCCUCCUCAUCUCCCCUCAACCCAACGGCCUAGGACCCCACUGAUGCCUCAGGGCCUGGAAGCCUCUCCCGCCACACCUUCUCCUGGUCCUGGGAUGGCGAAAUGACUGCUCACAAUGUGGCCAGGAUGGAUGGAGGACAUCAUAUUGUUCCUCUAGCCCAGUAUUCUGAGAACCCGCUGGCUGUGAUUCAGAAUAAAGGAGAAAUGAGGCCUGUUUCUUGGGCAGUGGAGGUGGGGAUUUUUUUUUCUUUUUAAUUUGGAUUGAAGUUUUUAGCUGUGAGUAAUGGUUGGCUUGUGCCAGAGAAGGCGGCACCUGUGCACAAGGAUGGAGCCCAGAAGGCCUGAGCCUGGGGUUUAGGAGCCGCUGGGAGAGGCGGAGCUGCAGAAAGGAGCCACGGAGCUCCUGGGAGAGUGGGGCCCGCGUCGUCUCAAGCCAGCAGCCAACACCACCCCCGAGAUGGCUCCAGCUGGGACACAAAAGGAACCCAUGGUUGUGCCGGGAAGUGUUGCCACAGCAGAUUUCCAAGAACUGAUUCUCAAAGAGAAGCCAGGCAGGGCUCCCAGCCCUGGCUCUGGGAACGCACAGACUGGGGGCUCCUAAACCCCUGAGCGCCACAGCCUCCCCGGGGAAGCCGGACCCUGUUAGCUCGUUGCACUCGAUGGCUCCAGGCUUUUCACAUGGGCGGAAUGGAAUGAACACGUGUGGGAAUCAUGACGAGGAUUCCCAAGCCGCUUCCCAACAUGGUAAAGUUGUAGGGUAGAACAUUCCCACUGCAGACAAAGGCGUUCCUCACCCAAGCCUGAGCACACAGAUGGUUAGAAAUAGCCCAGGGCCACGUGGUGGGGGGGGGGGGGGGGCGCCUGUAGUCCCAGGAGACCAGGCAGGAGAAUCGCUUGAACCUGGGAGGUGGAGAUUGCAGUGAGCCGAGAUCAUGCCACUGCACUCCAGCCCGGGCAGCAGAGGGAGAUUCCAUCUCAAAAAAAAAAAAAAGAAAGAAAGAAAAAAAAGAAAAAAGAAAGAAAAAAAGUAGCUCAGGGCCGAAGUAGAGUGGGAGAAGGGCCCAAGGGCAGGGGUGGCCUUGGGGUCAGGAGGCAGGACUUUCAUCGUACUGCAAGCAGGGCCAGAGAGGCAGUCUAUCCACGUGCCUCCAUCUGUGUGUACUCCUGUCUCGGUCUCCAGCACGAAGCAGGUGCUUGGCCAUCAUUUUGGGGAAACUACUGCCCAUGGGGGCCUCCUAGGUUCCCAGCCAAGGUGUCUGAGCAGCUGUUUGCUUUGUGCUCUCGGCUCUAUAGGCCAAGCAGGCUAAAUCCACUUGAACUACAGUAAUUCCUUCCUCCUGUGCUGGCUGGACACCUCACUGUGACACAGCACACCCUGCGGUCUCCUUUGGACUAGGCAAAGAAGGGUCCAGAUCACCGCACAGGACCUUGUUCAUUUAGGUGACAAUGAUCUCUUGAGGGUCUACAAAGGAAGAACUGGGAAGGCAGUAUCUGGGGAGAACGUGAGCCUUAAACACAAACGACACCCAUGAUUUCCUUCAUUACUAGGUGAGACGUGCCCCACAGAACAAGGACAGGGUGCAAGGAGAGCUGACAACUGGGGCGAACCACACUGCAAGCACUGAGCUAGUCUGAUGGGGGAGGGCGGUGGGCAAGUGGGCUCUGUGAUGGCAGCGCAAGAGGGAAGACCCGGCCCCCACUCUCAUUCUUAGCUGCAUCCUGGCAAACUCAGGCCAUAGUCCAGAGGCCCCUUUCCUCCAUCCUACUGAGCAGCCAGUGGGGUUGGAGGGGGCAUGAGAUGUGGCCCCUGCCCCAAGACAGAGACAAUAACACAAACAUCUUCACACCACAGGGGGCCCUAAAUUUUUGAUCAAGCACUUUGACCACUAAGUAAAUUUUGAGUGCCUUCCUGUAAGUAGUAGGUGAAUAGUGGCCCUCAAAAAGAUAUGUUCAUGUCCCAACCUUUGGUACCUGUGAAUACAACCUUGUGUACAAUAAGGGUCUUUGGCCGGGCACGGUGGCUCACACCUGUAAUCCCAGCACUUUGAGAGGCCGAGGUGGGUGGAUCACCUGAAGUCAGGAGUUUGAGACCAGCCUGAUCAAUAUGGUGAAACCCUGUCUCUACUAAAAAUACAAAAAAAUUAGCCAGGCAUGGUGGCAUGCACCUGCAGUCUCAGCUACUAGGAAGGCUGAGACAGGAGAAUUGCUUGAACCUGGGAGUUGGAGGUUGCAGUGAGCCGAGAUUGCACCACCGCACUCCAGCUUGGGUGACAGAGCGAGACUCCGUUUCAAAAACAAACAAACAAACAAACAAAAAUAAGGGUCUUUACAAAGGUAAUUGACUUAGAGAUCUCAAGAUGAAAGCAUCCUGGAUUUAGGGUGACCCUAAAUACAAUGACUGUGUCCUUAUCAGAAGAAGAAAGGACGCAGAGGCCAGGUGCAGUGGCUCACACCUGUAAUCCCAGCACCUUGGGAGGCUGAGGCGGGUGGAUCACCUGAGAUCAGGAGUUUGAGACAAGCCUGACCAAUAUGGUGAAACCCCAUCUCUACCAAAAAUACAAAAAUUAGCUGGGCAUAAUGACAUGUGCCUGUAAUCCCAGUUACUCGAGAGGCUGAGACAGGAGAAUUGGUUGAACCGAGGAGAUGGAGGUUGCAGUGAGCCGAGAUCAUGACACUACACUCCAGCCUGGGCAACAGAGUGAGACUCCAUCUCAAAAAGGAAAAAAAAAGAAGGAGAAGAAGAGACACAGACACAGAGACACACAGGGACGAGGCCAUGAGAGACAGAAGCAGAGACUGUAGGGGUGCGGCCAUGCACCGGGGCACACUGAGGGGUGCCAGCAGCCCCUAGAAGCUGGGAGAAGCCUGGAAAAGAUAUGCCCUCAGAGCCUCCGGAAGGAACCCACCCUGCGGACACCUUGACUUCAGACUUCCAGCCUCCAGAACUGGGAGGAUAAAUCUCUGUUGUUUAAGCUACUCAGUCUGUGGUCAUUUAUUACGGCAGCCCCAGGGAAUGAACACACUGUUUGUUUAUUUGUUUGUUUGUUUGUUUUUUAGACAAUGUCUUGCUCUGUUGCCCAGGUUGGGUGCGGUGGCACAAUCAUGGCUCACUGCAGCCUCGACUUUCCAGGCUCCAGCGAUCCUCCCACCUCAGCCUUCCAAGUAGCUGAGACUACAGGCGUGCACCACCAUGCCUGGCUUGUUUUUGCAUUUUUUUGUAGAGACGAUGUCUCACCAUGUUGCCCAGGCUGGUCUUGAACUCCUGAGCUCAAGCAAUCCUCCCACCUUAGCCUCCCAUAGUGCUGGGAUUACAGGCGUGAACCACCGUGCCUGGCCAGGAAAUGAACACACUCUCAUACAAAUUUAUGCAUUUCUACAUUGAGUAGUCCAUGGUAAUAUCCUAUGUACACUAUGAAACCACAAAGCAGUUGGCAGAAAGCAAGAGGUGCAUGGGGCAAGGGGAAGAUACAAGUAAACUUCAGAGUUGUCCUGGGUACCUAGGGGCCGAAUGGUGGUGACGCAGCCAUCAGGAGCAACAGGAGGAUGGUUGGUCCCAGCAUGUUUUAUUUCUUAAGUGGACGGUGGUGCGUGGGUGUCCACGUUAUGUGAUCAUUAUUUUCAUCUUGCAAAACACCACCUCUGUUGUUGGCAAAUGAAUGAAAUCGUUCAUAAUAAAAGGUUUUUAAAAAGGGCACAAGAUUUGAGUCCAGGCAUUGAGCUCACUGUCUGCCUGUGCUGGCCUAUGGCUGAGGCAGGUCUCCAAAGUUCUCCAAGCCUCAGUUUCCUCAAUGAGCAAGCAGGGCCCGUGAUGGUGCCUCCUUUCAGCACUGGAGAAAUCAGUACCCAGGCAGGUGGGCACAUGUGAUCAGUCCGUGAGCAUCCAAGCACGUAGCUGGUCUCUAUAGCAGCUCAGUUCCUUUCCAUUAAGAGAGAAGAAUGGCUCUUUUGGCCAUAUAACCUGAUACCUUCUUAUGACAUGGCUUAUACCUUUGUGUAAAUAACUUAAACCCAGAAGGGGCUGGAAUCCUCAUAAUGCUGCUGUCUCCAUCCCUGUGGGUGGCUGAAAAACAGAUUCUCUUAGCCCCUGGCCUGUUUCUUUGCCCCUGGCCUAUUUCUCACUCUAAUAUGAACACCAGGAACUGAUAGGUGAGAAGUGCUCUCACUGCUCCCAGACACUGGAUGCUUUUCUUGCUGUGUUUUCUGUGAAUAUUUCCAAAUAAUUGGCCAGCGUCUGCAGGAUGGCAGAGGCAGCUGUGAGGAGGCCCUCAGCCUUAGUUCAUCAAGCCACCCCGGCAUCAAGAACACCUCCCUACGGCACUGCUCCCCAACUUCCAACACACCUGGGGUAAAGUCUACAGUUCACUCCACUCUUACUGGCCUUCUCUGUGGCCCUCAGAUCUGCCACACUGGUUCCUGCCCCAGGGCCCUUGUACUCAUUUCUCUCCCUGCCCAGGACACUCUGAGCCAGCCCUUCACGAGGCUGACAUCCUGCAGCCACUCAGCUCUUGGGCCAUGAAGUCACCUCUUCCAGGAGGUCAUCCUGCCAAGGAGCCCUGUCCUCUGGCUUGGCACUGUUUCUGCUCCCUGCACUGUUUGCUCACUGCUGGCCUCGGUCCCUCUUGGGGAGGGAAGCCAGGAGCCUCAGGCAUGAGGAGAUGAGCCUGGCUCUGGGAGGGGAAGGAGAGGAAAAUGACCAGGCCACCUGCCGAUUCAACCGUGGCAAACCUGUGCUGUUUUGUAAUACCAGGUGCUGAGGACACAGGGUGGGCAACGAGACACAGGUUCUGCCCUGCAGGAAGCUAAAUUCCAUGGUGAAAAAAACAGAAGGCAGGGGGCACGGUGUUCUGGCAGCAUGGGGGAAGUAGGGAGGUUUUCUUGGAAGCAGCGACUUUGAAGGUGAAACAGCAAGGAUGAGUAAGAGCUUGUCAUGUGAGCAGAGUGGGGAGAGGGCCCCUGGCAGAGGACAAGCAAGCAUGAAAGCCGGCAGGCACACGGUGUCCACUGAGGCUGGGGUCUCAUACAAUUUGGCUCUGGGUCCCUACCAAAAUCUCGUGUCAAAUUGUAAUCCCCAUGGGUCAAGGGAGGGACCUGGUGGGAAGUGAUUGGAUCAUGGGGUGGAUUUCCCCCUUGCUGUUCUCAUGAUAGUGCAUGAGUUCUCACGAGAUCUGAUGGUUUGCAAGUGUGUGGCACUUCCCCCUUUGCCCUCUCUCUCUCCUGCCACCUUGCAAAGAUGUGCCUGCUUCCCCUUCACCUUCCACCAUGACUGUAAGUUUCC
rnacentral:lncRNA from 1 species